CAUCAGCACAGACACUGGUCACCGAUCUCUUCACAAGAGAAAUUCUUGACACAUCCCCACCAAGUUCCUCGAAAAGUACAAGAAGAUUUUGGGUUGGGUUUAACCAAGAGCGUGGAACAUGAUGAUUACCAUUGCUGGGUUGGUUGGCCGCAUCCAGUUUGACACUUAGGAGGUCUGAAUGUUCCAGAAUAACUACAUCCAUUGCAAUUACCAUUUGCCCAAGCUGUCCAAUAUCUACCUAUGCUCUGCCCAUUGAUCCAUACUUGACCCUUCCCCAUACUCCCCAAGUCUAAUGCCAAUGGUUCAUCUCCUUCAGGUGCAUUAAAAUAAGACUGCACGUGGCACAGAGAGUUAGCUAAACUCCUAAUGCAUAUAAAAUAAACUGCAGCACUAGCUUGGACUCUUACUGUCACUGGUAUUCUUACCUUAAACCAUGUCAAUGGCUGCUGCUUCUGUGCAACUAAUGAUGCACUCAUCCAUUCAACAGAAGAAAUUCCAUUUG